GACGAACGCUGGCGGCGUGCUUAACACAUGCAAGUCGAACGGUAAGGCCCUUCGGGGUACACGGGUGGCGAGCGGGUGAGUAACACGUGGGUGAUCUGCCCUGCACUUCGGGAUAAGCCUGGGAAACUGGGUCUAAUACCGGAUAGGACCCUGGGAUGCAUGUCCUGGGGUGGAAAGCUUUUGCGGUGUGGGAUGGGCCCGCGGCCUAUCAGCUUGUUGGUGGGGUGAUGGCCUACCAAGGCGACGACGGGUAGCCGGCCUGAGAGGGUGACCGGCCAGACUGGGACUGAGAUACGGCCCAGACUCCUACGGGAGGCAGCAGUGGGGAAUAUUGCACAAUGGGCGCAAGCCUGAUGCAGCGACGCCGCGUGAGGGAUGACGGCCUUCGGGUUGUAAACCUCUUUUAGUAGGGAAGAAGCGAAAGUGACGGUACCUGCAGAAAAAGCACCGGCUAACUACGUGCCAGCAGCCGCCGUAA
rnacentral:rRNA from 1 species